UACGGGGGGGGCAAGCGUUGUUCGGAAUUACUGGGCGUAAAGGGCUAGUAGGUGGCCAACUAAGUCAGACGUGAAAUCCCUCAGCUUAACUGGGGAAUUGCUUCUGAUACUGGAUGGCUUGAGUUUGGGAGAGGGGUGCGGAAUUCCAGGUGUAGCGGUGAAAUGCGUAGAUAUCUGGAGGAACACCGGUGGCGAAGGCGGCAUCCUGGACCAACACUGACACUGAAUAGCGAAAGCCAGGGGAGCAAACGGG
rnacentral:rRNA from 1 species